UGCCCAGCAACUCCUAUCCCUACCGCGUGGCACCGGCUGGAAACUAGAAGAUCGUAGGCUGACUGGGAAGG
rnacentral:ribozyme from 1 species